UGUAUAGGCGUAUGUACCUAUAAGUUCUUCAUGAUGUGUGUUUAUUUAUAACUGGGGUAUUGUUGGGAUAUCCAGAGUGUAGUUUUUUUUACUCUUGCUGGCAAUGAUAUCUGGUGCUCAUGUGGUAGGCGGCUAUGCUGUUUUCUAUGAAUGUAACGUUCGUAAAAUUUGAAAUCCGUCCGGAAAAUACUAUUCUCACGCGCAUCUAUAUGAUGGAAAGUCUAAAUAUAGUAUGUUUGCGUUGCCUGGUGUUGGUUUGGGUUGGUUUUUCGUUGUUUCGGCGCCGCUCACAGCCUCUUAGCGCUCGUCUGCAGUUAGUGUUCGCUCAAAAGCUGUUUGCUUAUAAAAUAUAAAAACACAUGUUUUCUUCAGUGUACACUUGUGGUCCUAUGCAUAUUGCAUAGCCGAACGUGCAACUAAAAAUUGAUAUUCUUAGUGGGGGAGGUUUUUCUAUAUAUAAAUAUAGUGACUUUAUCCUGCUGGGUGCAUUUGAUGGGACAUCGUCAACGUGAACACAUAUUUGAAUAUUCAACCGUUUCUCCGCCGACUUAAUCAUUAUGUCUUCGCGCAGUGACAUCCAGUGCAAUAAUAUCUCCAGUUCUAAAGGGAUAAAGAAAAAGUUGCAGAACAAAAAGCAAAUACGCAAAAUUUUUGAGUUUGAAAAUGCAACGUACCCACAAACAAGAAACAUUUUGGAACUGGUUAAACGCAAUAUUUUGAUGUGCCACCAAAACAAACUCACAGCAAAGGAGUCGGGCUAUAAAAUCUCUCAAGAAAUCGAAAAUCGUUUGCAAGACACACAACGCGCUCCUCUCAGCGAUCAGAAGAAUCAUUCCAAUGCCAAUUCAAAAUUUGAAGCGUUCGAGUGCAGUACCAUCACCAAGCAACUACUUAGAAAAUCAAUUCUAGAGAAGCAGAAGGAAAAAUUACUCCGUGACGUACAACAUAAAGAAAAAUAUAUAAAUUAUAAAUUGUGGCGACCGUGGUGAAUUUGUUUGUUAAUGAUAAAACGUGGGACCAGCAUAAAAUUGUGAUUGUAAGCUUUAAUGUGUAAUAAAAUUAUAAGAUUUGCGAUAAAUAUAAUUAUUUAAAUAGGUA